rnacentral:rRNA from 1 species
UACGUAGGCAGCAAGCGUUGUUCGGAAUUACUGGGCGUAAAGCGUGCGUAGGCGGUGCCUCAAGUUUGGUGUGAAAUCUCCCGGCUCAACUGGGAGGGUGCGCCGAAAACUGAGGUGCUCGAGUGUGGGAGAGGUAGGCGGAAUUCCUGGUGUAGCGGUGAAAUGCGUAGAUAUCAGGAGGAACACCGGCGGUGUAGACGGCUUACUGGACCAUUACUGACGCUGAGGCACGAAAGUGUGGGGAGCAAACAGG